GACGAACGCUGGCGGCGUGCUUAACACAUGCAAGUCGAACGGAAAGGCCCUGCUUUUGUGGGGUGCUCGAGUGGCGAACGGGUGAGUAACACGUGAGUAACCUGCCCUUGACUUUGGGAUAACUUCAGGAAACUGGGGCUAAUACCGGAUAGGAGCUCCUGCUGCAUGGUGGGGGUUGGAAAGUUUCGGCGGUUGGGGAUGGACUCGCGGCUUAUCAGCCUGUUGGUGGGGUAGUGGCUUACCAAGGCUUUGACGGGUAGCCGGCCUGAGAGGGUGACCGGCCACAUUGGGACUGAGAUACGGCCCAGACUCCAACGGGAGGCAGCAGUGGGGAAUAUUGCACAAUGGGCGGAAGCCUGAUGCAGCAACGCCGCGUGCGGGAUGACGGCCUUCGGGUUGUAAACCGCUUUCGCCUGUGACGAAGCGUGAGUGACGGUAAUGGGUAAAGAAGCACCGGCUAACUACGUG
rnacentral:rRNA from 1 species